rnacentral:rRNA from 1 species
UACAGAGGUCCCGAGCGUUGUUCGGAAUUAUUGGGCGUAAAGGGCGCGUAGGCGGUGCGGUAAGUCACCUGUGAAAACUCUGGGCUCAACUCAGAGCCUGCAGGCGAAACUGCCGUGCUUGAGUGUGGGAGAGGUGCGUGGAAUUCCCGGUGUAGCGGUGAAAUGCGUAGAUAUCGGGAGGAACAACUGUGGCGAAAGCGGCGCACUGGACCACAACUGACGCUGAGGCGCGAAAGCUAGGGGAGCAAACAGG